rnacentral:rRNA from 1 species
CNGUAAACGAUGAGUGCUAGGUGUUAGGCCCUUUCCGGGGCUUAGUGCCGGAGCUAACNCAAUAAGCACUCCGCCUGGGGAGUACGACCGCAAGGUUGAAACUCAAAGGAAUUGACGGGGGCCCGCACAAGCGGUGGAGCAUGUGGUUUAAUUCGAAGCAACGCGAAGAACCUUACCAGGUCUUGACAUCCCGAUGCUAUUCUUAGAGAUAGGAAGUUACUUCGGUACAUCGGAGACAGGUGGUGCAUGGUUGUCGUCAGCUCGUGUCGUGAGAUGUUGGGUUAAGUCCCGCAACGAGCGCAACCCUUAUUGUUAGUUGCCAUCAUUAAGUUGGGCACUCUAGCGAGACUGCCGGUAAUAAACCGGAGGAAGGUGGGGAUGACGUCAAAUCAUCAUGCCCCUUAUGACCUGGGCUACACACGUGCUACAGUGGUCGGUACAACGAGUUGCGAGCCGGUGACGGCAAGCUAAUCUCUGAAAGCCGAUCUCAGUUCGGAUUGGAGGCUGCAACUCGCCUCCAUGAAGUCGGAAUCGCUAGUAAUCGCGGAUCAGCACGCCGCGGUGAAUACGUUCCCGGGCCUUGUACACACCGCCCG